GACGUAGGGGCCAGCGUUGCUCGGAAUUACUGGGUGUAAAGGGUUCGUAGGCGGUGUGGCAAGUCGGGAGUGAAAUCUCUGGGCUCAACCCAGAGUCUGCUUCCGAAACUGCUGUGCUUGAGUGUGGGGGAGAGGCGCGGUGAAUUGCAGGUGUAGCGGUGAAAUGCGUAGAUAUCUGCAGGAACACCCGUGGCGAAAGCGGCGCGCUGGACCACUACUGACGCUGAGGAACGAAAGCUAGGGGAGCAAACAGG
rnacentral:rRNA from 1 species